rnacentral:lncRNA from 1 species
UCGGAGCUCCGACAACAAGGUACAGGUCAUCGGAGAGAACGGUGACUACCUGCCGAUAAGGGGGCUUAGUGCAUGGUGGAGUGUUUUCUGUAUAGAGACAGUGAAGCUAUGGAGAAUAGGCGGCCCCAUAGUGUUUCAAGUUCUUUGUCAGUAUGGAACUUACUCCGUCACCAACAUGUUUGUUGGCCAUCUUGGAGAUAUCGAACUCUCUGCCUUUUCCAUCACUCUUUCCGUUAUCUGCACCUUCUCUUUUGGCCUCCUGGUUAGCCCCUUCACACCACCGCCACCGCCACCACCACCGCCACCUAUUAUAUCUCAAUUUUGGUUUUAAAUUAAAAAAUUACGAAUAAUUUAUUUGUCAUUGACGAAUGUCCGUCUACAUACUUAAUAAUUUUUCACAUUAAAUGCACGAAAUCUGGGUGGUUCAUUUUCUAUCAUUAUAUUAGUCUUUGGAUUGGGUAGCAUAAUAGUCAGAUUUAUCGCUCCAGCUAGCUAGACAUGUUGCUAGAAAAAUGAUUGUUGGCAAUGAAUUUGAAAUAAAUUCCGUAACUGCGUUGGCAGAUACAUUAUGAAACUUUAAUGCCAUUUAGCCCCACUUGGUUUGCUAUCCCAGUUCAAGCAGCUUUAAUUAAAUGACUCAUUUAAUUUUACUUUUCCUUUAGCCUUAUCUUCUAGCACUACUUAGACUGGAUUGCAACCUCAAUGGCUACAUAGCAUUACUCUUCUUGAAAACUGAUAUUCUUUAAGAUACAAGUCUGAAAGGAUUUUGUAUAAGUUCCUUGUAAUUGUGUAAUCUGUUUUAUUUAAGAUACGUACAAGUCUAACUAAUUAGUCUAGUUCAUCCUAAAUAAUCUUGAAGCCGAAGAUCUGAUUAAAAAAACGUUUCAAACCCCUUAAAUGAAACAAUUCAAGUUUUCUGAAUUUGUUCUUGUGACAUAGACAAUACAUUUCGUAGGAUUCAAGACUACUACUACCAAUUUACUGUUUACACAUUAUGUAGGAUCCACAAUUUAUAAUCACUUAGAUCUAAUUUGAGCACUCCCAAGUAUGGUUAAACAGCGAUCUAAUAUGACUUCACAAAUGGCACCUUAUUUUGCUAUGUCUAGUUCGGUAUGGGGAGUGCCCUUGAGACGCUAUGCGGUCAGGCAUUUGGUGCUGGACAAAUUCACAUGCUUGGUAUUUACAUGCAACGCUCGAUAGUGAUCCUAACCAUCACUUGUGUCGUCCUGUUGCCACUAUACUUGUUUGCGACCCCAAUUCUGAAGCUACUUGGACAGGAGGAUGAUAUAGCAAAUCUUGCAGGGGUAUAUACGCUUCAGGUUAUCCCUCAAUUAUUUUCCCUUGCCAUCAGUUUCCCGGCUCAGAAGUUUCUUCAAGCCCAGAGUAAAGUUGCCGCUCUUGCGUGGAUAUCAUUUUCUGUAUUGGCUGCACAAGUUUUUCUAUGUUGGCUUUUUAUUCAAGCAUUUGGCUGGGGAGGAGCUGGUGCGGCUGCAGCAUUGGACCUUGCGAGUUGGCUUAUGGCCUUAGCACAAUUUGGUUAUGUGGUUGGUUGGUGCAAGGAUGGUUGGAAGGGAUUCUCAUGGUUCGCAUUUAGGGAUUUAUGGGCCUUCGUGAGACUCUCCCUUGAAUCUGCCGUCAUGCUAUGCCUCGAGGUGUGGUAUAUGAUGAGCAUCGUUGUACUUGCUGGACAUCUUGGCAAUGCCGUAACUGCAGUUGGUUCCCUUUCUAUUUGGUGAGCUUAAAUCAUAUUUUACAUCCUUCUAUAUAUCGUAGUGAUUUAAAAAUUGUGGAUUUCAUAUUUUGUGAGCU